rnacentral:rRNA from 1 species
UACGUAGGUGGCAAGCGUUGUCCGGAUUUAUUGGGCGUAAAGCGAGCGCAGGCGGUCUUUUAAGUCUGAUGUGAAAGCCCCCGGCUUAACCGGGGAGGGUCAUUGGAAACUGGGAGACUUGAGUGCAGAAGAGGAAAGCGGAAUUCCAUGUGUAGCGGUGAAAUGCGUAGAUAUAUGGAAGAACACCAGUGGCGAAGGCGGCUUUCUAGUCUGUAACUGACGCUGAGGCUCGAAAGCGUGGGGAGCAAACAGG